rnacentral:rRNA from 1 species
ACGCAGAUAGAUGAGCCGACGUCGGAUUAGCUAGUUGGUGGGGUAAUGGCCCACCAAGGCGACGAUCCGUAGCUGGUCUGAGAGGAUGAUCAGCCACACUGGAACUGAGACACGGUCCAG